rnacentral:ncRNA from 10 species
UAUAAUCAUUCAGAGAGGACUGACGUCCUGCCAACCUGCAUUUUCCGGCAAGGUGGUUACCUCAUUUGAGGGAUGAGACCGUAGGGUAACCAAAGGAUCAUUG